rnacentral:lncRNA from 1 species
UGGCGUGCUAGCGUGUAGCGUGGUUGGUGAUAGGUUACAGUGCUGUCUGUAUGUGUAGCCACCCGUCUGUCAGUCAGGGAGUCGCUUUCGUUGUACUAGCAUCUUUGUACAUGGUAUCAGUAGGUUUGGUUGGAUCCGUGGUGGUGGUCGGCUGGCGGCGCUGGAUUCGCCGGUGCCGAGACCUGGUUUCUGGAAUGUCGCCGGUGCCGAGACCUGGUUUCUGGAAUGCCAUCAACCUUUUUUUAAAAGUCUUGCUUUUUCGAUGAAGGGCGCCAUUUAUCGAUUCAUAAUGUAGCAUCGAGCCAUACAAUCACAAUGAGUAUACACCCGGCCUCUGC